rnacentral:rRNA from 1 species
GACGACGGGUAGCUGGCGUGAGAGCGCGGCCAGCCACACUGGGAUGAGACACGGCCCAGACUCUACGGGAGGCAGCAGUGGGGAAUCUUGCACAAUGGGCGAAAGCCUGAUGCAGCGACGCCGCGUGGGGGAUGAAGGCCCUCGGGUUGUAAACCCCUUUCGACGGGGAAGAAGCGAAAGUGACGGUACCCGUAGAAGAAGCCCCGGCUAACUACGUGCCAGCAGCCGCGGUAAGACGUAGGGGGCGAGCGUUGUCCGGAUUUACUGGGCGUAAAGCGCGCGCAGGCGGCCCGUUAAGUCGAAUGUGAAAACCUGGGGCUCAACCCCAGGCCUGCAUCCGAUACUGGCGGGCUCGAGGCAGGUAGGGGAGAGCGGAAUUCCCGGUGUAGCGGUGAAAUGCGCAGAUACCGGGAGGAACACCGGUGGCGAAGGCGGCUCUCUGGGCCUGUCCUGACGCUCAUGCGCGAAAGCUAGGGGAGCAAACAGGAUUAGAUACCCUGGUAGUCCUAGCCGUAAACGUUGGGUGCUAGGUGUGGGGCGGCGAUUGACCCGUCCUGUGCCGAAGCUAACGCAUUAAGCACCCCGCCUGGGGAGUACGGCCGCAAGGCUAAAACUCAAAGGAAUUGACG